AAACAUUCAUCUGCCAAGAGUUGUGAGUCAUCAAAAGAAACCUGUGAAGCAAAAAUAGACCAGGAGUGUUUCCUAGUGACAGUCUCUACAGGUAAACAUCAUCUUAAAAUUCGGAAAUGUAGUAGUAACUGCACAAAUGCUAUUCCAAAUCAAUCCCAACAUGCAUGCUGCGAUUCGCAUUCUUUGUGUAAGAAGCUACAAGGCAUCGUCCUUUCUUGGCCUGUUCUACUUAGAGCUGUUCAUUGAGUCCUGGAACAUGUCAUCAAGCCUUCUCCUGUUGAAUCAUACCUCCAGCCUCAGACCCUGAUGUCUACAUAGCAUUCAUUGGAUACUGUUCCUAUUCUAC